rnacentral:rRNA from 1 species
GGGGAAUAUUGCACAAUGGGCGCAAGCCUGAUGCAGCAACGCCGCGUGAGGGACGACGGCCUUCGGGUUGUAAAGCCCUUUCGGCCGGGAAGAAAACGUGCGGGCGAACAGUCUGCAUGGAUGACGGUACCGGAAGAAGAAGCACCGGCUAACUACGUGCCAGCAGCCGCGGUAAUACGUAGGGUGCGAGCGUUAAUCGGAAUUAUUGGGCGUAAAGCGUGCGCAGGCGGCGCCAUAAGACAGCUGUGAAAUCCCCGGGCUUAACCUGGGAACUGCGGUUGUGACUGUGGUGCUAGAGUACGGCAGAGGGAGGUGGAAUUCCUGGUGUAGCAGUGAAAUGCGUAGAGAUCAGGAGGAACACCGAUGGCGAAGGCAGCCUCCUGAGCUGAUACUGACGCUCAUGCACGAAAGCGUGGGGAGCAAACA